GACGAACGCUGGCGGCGUGCCUAAUACAUGAAAGUAGAACGCUGAAGAGAGGAGCUUGCUCUUCUUGGAUGAGUUGCGAACGGGUGAGUAACGCGUAGGUAACCUGCCUUGUAGCGGGGGAUAACUAUUGGAAACGAUAGCUAAUACCGCAUAACAAUGGAUGACACAUGUCAUUUAUUUGAAAGGGGCAAUUGCUCCACUACAAGAUGGACCUGCGUUGUAUUAGCUAGUAGGUGGGGUAAUGGCUCACCUAGGCGACGAUACAUAGCCGACCUGAGAGGGUGAUCGGCCACACUGGGACUGAGACACGGCCCAGACUCCUACGGGAGGCAGCAGUAGGGAAUCUUCGGCAAUGGGGGCAACCCUGACCGAGCAACGCCGCGGGAGUGAAGAAGGUUUUCGGAUCGUAAAGCUCUGUUGUAAGUCAAGAACGGGGGUGAGAGUGGAAAGUUCACACUGUGACGGUAGCUUACCAGAAAGGGACGGCUAACUACGUG
rnacentral:rRNA from 1 species